GAAGCGGGAGACGGGAAUCACCUCAAUCGUUUCAGCAAAUCAAGGAUGUGGAUGCGGAGCGAAAAUGUGCAGGUACAUGCAGAUUUUCUAAACAUGUCUUUGUUAAUAUGUGUUUAAGCAUAGGAAACUUUGUUUUUACAGUUUAAAUGACCUUUAAAGGGCAUAUUUCAGGUUAGAGACCCCAGUGAAUCGAUGUAUAGAAAAAUAAUCUAGGAACUAGAUUUUCUUUAAAAUAAACUUUAAAAUACGCUAUUAAGGCUUCUGGAGUCGUUUUUGUGAGAGAAUUUUACUUCCGCAUCUCAAAACCGGAAGUGACGCAUCAAAAGGGAGAGCGGACCAUUUCAACCAUAGGAAAGCAAUGGAUCGCAACGACAGUUUGGAUGCUGAGGAAAUUUUAAAUGUUUAUUUACACUUGUAUGACGGAUAUAGAUAAAAUUAUGAGCCUGCUGUGCGGCCAAGAGAGCAGGGACAGGUCAGGAUUAGACAGAACAACGGUCAGAGGAGACAGAUUGAGUGGAUGUGUGAGGAGAACAGGGCAUGUGUCUUGCAUCUCUGACGGAUCCGUGAGCAUCAUGUCUCCCGCCGGCGGCCGAACACAGGUGGACCAGGACCCGAUGAAGCUGCUGUGUGCACCGAGUCUCACUAGGCUCUUGCUUCGGUAUCCCAUGCGGAACUCAUAUCGCCGGGAUGAUAAUCUUCCGGUGUAAAGUGAUCGUUAAGCUACACACCACCGCGUUUCUCGAAGCAGAUGCAUCAGUGAAGUCCCGUCUCUUCAGCUGCACAGGGGCGAGGCGUAACAGUUAAUCACGUGGACUGCGGAAGAAUACUACGAUUAAUGAUGUGAAGCAGGAGGCAGAAAAGGCUCCGAGUGCUGUACUGGGACCAGAGACGAGUGGAAAGAGAUUAGAGAACAGCACGAGAAAGACCGUCUCCAGGAGUGUUAUCAGUUUGUGUUGUUUUCUUGUUUGUUUCUAAAUUGUGUAGUUUUUGAGACAGAAUAUGUGACCCUGGACCACAAAACCAGUCUUAAGUCGCUGGGGUAUAUUUGUAGCAAUAGCCAAAAAUACAUUGUAUGGGUCAAAAUGAUAGAUCUUUCUUUUAUGCCAAAAAUCAUUAGUAUAUUAAGUAAAGGUCAUGUUCCAUGAAGAUAUUUUAAAUUUCCUACCGUAAAUAUAUCAAAACUUCAUUUUUGAUAAGUAAUAUGCAUUGCUAAGAACUUCAUUUUGACAACUUUAAAGGCAAUUUUCUCAAUAUUUAGAUUUUUUUUUUUUUUUGCACCCUCAGAUUCCAGAUUUUCAAAUAGUUGUAUCUCAGCCAAAUAUUGUCCGAUCCUAACAAACCAUACAUCAAUGGAAAGAUUAUUUACUUAUUUAUUCAGCUUUCAGGUGAUGUAUAAAUCGCAAUUUCGAACAAUUUACCCUUAUAUGGUUUUGUGGUCCAGGGUCACAUACAUUUUAUUAUUAUACUGUAAGUUCAGGUGAGUUUGUUGUUUUUGUGUUUCUUCAUUGUGUCAGUGUCAAAUUUAGAAGAGCACUGAUGUUUCUUAAAGGGAUAGUUCACCCAAAUGUGCAUAUUCUGUCAUCAUUUACUCUCCCUCAUUUACUUGUUCCAAACCCAUAAGACAUUCAUUCAUCUCUGGAACACAAAUGAAGAUAUUUUUAGAGGUUUCUGGCCCUCCAUUAAAAGUCAAAUCCCAAAACUGACACUUUUAAAUGUUCUUAAAAAGAUCAUACAAAAAAUCCAUUUGAAUUGAGCUGUUUAAUCUAAGUCUUCUGAAGAGACAGUCACUUUAAAUGAACAGAUAUAAUUUAUGCUUUUGUGCACAUAUAAACACUGAUCAGCGGACAAUGACAUUUUAAUAGACGGAAAGUCAAGCCUGCUUGCUUGAAGCGUGAGAACCAAUGAAGUUUGUUCUCAUGCAAGUACCGUUGAACUUCUUUAUAUAUUCACUGAUCAAUGUUUAUAUGUAAAUAAAAGCUGAAUAUAAAUCUGUUUACCAUGUAAUGUGAUCAUGUCUCUUCACAAGACUUGUAUUAAACCCCUCGAUUCAUAUGGAUUUAUUUUACAAUCUCUUUAUGAAUGUUUUGAAGCAUCAGAGUUUUGGGGAAGUAAACUUUCAAUGGAGCAACAGAAAUCGCUCAGAUAAAAAAAAAAAAAAGAUCUUCAUUUGUGUUCUGAAAAUUAAUUAAUUUCUUAUGUGUUUGGAGUGACAUGAUGAAAGAAUUUUCAUUUUUGGGUGAAUUAAGCUUUUAACUGUUAACUGUCAAUUUUUAUGUUAUGUAAGAUUAGUUACAUAAGACCAGUUGUUGAGAUGGUAUGACCCUGUUGGCUUAUCAAAAUGUUAAUGUUAAUGUUAAAGUAUAACAAAUGUGUCAGAAAAUGAUAAUAAAGUAUUAUAUUGAACCUGUACAACAUUUUAAUAUAUGAUUUUUCAAAUUGCACACUUUAAUGUUUUGCGAGUUUGUAAAUUAAUAAAGAGUGGAAUGUUCAUGCAGAAAACUGAUAUUUACCUAAC